GGUCUCACAUCCCUGUGCAUGACCUAGGUCCCUGCAGCCUUGGGGACACGUGACAUUGCAGUUGGCUGGCUGCAGUGUGGUGACAGGCAGCAGCAACAUGCAUCUCUCGUGCUCCCACGGACUUAGAGCUCUUCCGGUGCAGCAGCGAACACUCCAAAGCAGCAGGGAAAAGAGCAUUGGCAGGAUCAACUUGAAAGGCCCGGCUAGAUUUGAGCUCUCUGUUACUGGACCUUUAUGUAAAGGAGUCAUACAGCUCUGAUGAGUGAAGCGAGGUGGCAACGACCACUGCAUGAGUCAGAGUUUAAGGACGAGGAGUCAAAAUGACAUUCUGUUCUGGAUGACAAUUACUACAUGGGAAGUGUCAGCCGACUGCAGGAUUAGACUGUUGGAGCUUUGCCUUCUCAGCUGCACAAAAGACAGCACUCUGCUAUUGAACAUCCCAAACUUUCUCCAGUUGUUGCUGAGUAGAUUUAGAGAAAGUACCAAAAUGGAACUUUGCUGUACAACUCAUAGCUUCCUACGAAUCUGAAUAUAUGUUUUCCCUUCAUGGUCUUUCCUGUUCCAUUCCACCGAAAAGUAAUGUUCCUCUCUGAAGAUUUUUGGGUUCGGGUAGAGAAUCUAACAGCACCCUACAGUGAUGUGAUUAGCACUGGGAUUGUGUGCUCGGACAGACGGCUCUUCUCUUUACUUCUUUACCAUUCAUUCAUCAGUUAUCUGUUAUCUGCAAAAUAAGAUGACUCCCAACUCCAUUAAUUGCAGCUCCAUGAAUCCCAGCUCCGACUGCACAGUAAUCACCUAUCAACAGAAUAGAAAUUGCAUGUUCUGUGCUAGCAGCCACCAAGCCCUCCUGGGAGGGUCUCAGGAGGUUUCAUCCCAUCUGUGAUGGCUCAGUGAGACAUACUAACAUCACUGCCCAGCUCUUAAACAUUAUUUCUUUCUUAAGUUCAGAGUCUUGGCACAGCAACCUGUUUGGAGGCCAACAGCAAGCUGAAGCCACAGGUUUAGUGAUAAGGGAACGUGGAAAUGGAGCCAAUACCUAUUUUUGUCUCUGAAGCAUGCGACUGACACUGCAGCGGAGCUCUCUCAGCUCACUUUUGUCCUCAUGCAGA